GGUCCUACGGGGCGCAGCAGUGAGGAAUAUUGGUCAAUGGCCGCAGGGCUGAACCAGCCAAGUCGCGUGAGGGAUGACGGUCCUAUGGAUUGUAAACCUCUUUUGUCAGGGAGCAAAGGGCGCCACGUGUGGCGUUUUGCGAGUACCUGAAGAAAAAGCAUCGGCUAACUCCGUGCCAGCAGCCGCGGUAAUACGGAGGGGGCAAGCGUUAUCCGGAUUUACUGGGUGUAAAGGGGGCGCAGACGGCAAUGCAAGCCAGGAGUGAAAGCCCGGGGCCCAACCCCGGGACUGCUCUUGGAACUGCA
rnacentral:rRNA from 1 species